UAGGGAAUCUUCGGCAAUGGACGAAAGUCUGACCGAGCAACGCCGCGUGAGUGAAGAAGGUUUUCGGAUCGUAAAACUCUGUUGUUAGAGAAGAACAAGGACGUUAGUAACUGAACGUCCCCUGACGGUAUCUAACCAGAAAGCCACGGCUAACUACGUGCCAGCAGCCGCGGUAAUACGUAGGUGGCAAGCGUUGUCCGGAUUUAUUGGGCGUAAAGCGAGCGCAGGCGGUUUCUUAAGUCUGAUGUGAAAGCCCCCGGCUCAACCGGGGGGGGUCAUUGGAAACUGGGAGACUUGAGUGCAGAAGAGGAGAGUGGAAUUCCAUGUGUAGCGGUGAAAUGCGUAGAUAUAUGGGGAAACACCAGUGGCGAAGGCGGCUCUCUGGUCUGUAACUGACGCUGAGGCUCGAAAGCGUGGGGAGCAAACAGG
rnacentral:rRNA from 1 species